GGGCAUCAGUAUUUUUGAGGCUUUCCUAAGUGGCUCCAAUGUGCGGACAGGUUUGUUCCAAGAGCUGGUAUGAUCUUUCGGUAGAUGCUUCUGGAAUCACUGCGCCCCUAGACCUCAAGUACCUCGGAUUCCCCACCUCACUUCAGUGCGCAACUACUGCCCCUCCACCCCCGCGCCCAGCCCAGAAGCCCCUGCCCAUGCACACUGGGAUUUGUAGUCCCUUUGGCUCGCCGGCCUCGUCCUCUCCUCCCAUUGGUUUUGGCAGAUGCCACGCCCCAUAGCUCCACCAGUCACCGCGGCACAGUGGCCCUUAAGCGAGGAGCGGCGGCGCCCGCAGCAAUCACAGCAGUGCGGCCGUCGUGGGUGUUUGGUGUGAGGCUGCGCGCCGCCGCGAGUUCUCACGGUCCCGCCGGCGCCACCACCGCGGUCACUCACUGCCGCCGCCGCCACCACUGCCACCACGGUCGCCUGCCACAGGUUUCUGCAAUUGAACUCCAAGGUGCAGAAUGGUUUGGAAAGUAGCUGUAUUCCUCAGUGUGGCCCUGGGCAUUGGUGCCGUUCCUAUAGAUGAUCCUGAAGAUGGAGGCAAGCACUGGGUGGUGAUCGUGGCGGGUUCAAAUGGCUGGUAUAAUUAUAGGCACCAGGCAGACGCGUGCCAUGCCUACCAGAUCAUUCACCGCAAUGGGAUUCCUGACGAACAGAUCGUUGUGAUGAUGUACGAUGACAUCGCUUACUCUGAAGACAAUCCCACUCCAGGAAUUGUGAUCAACAGGCCCAAUGGCACAGAUGUCUAUCAGGGAGUCCCGAAGGACUACACCGGAGAGGAUGUUACCCCACAAAAUUUCCUUGCUGUGUUGAGAGGCGAUGCAGAAGCAGUGAAGGGCAUAGGAUCCGGCAAAGUCCUGAAGAGCGGCCCCCAGGAUCACGUGUUCAUUUACUUCACUGACCAUGGAUCUACUGGAAUACUGGUUUUUCCCAAUGAAGAUCUUCAUGUAAAGGACCUGAAUGAGACCAUCCAUUACAUGUACAAACACAAAAUGUACCGAAAGAUGGUGUUCUACAUUGAAGCCUGUGAGUCUGGGUCCAUGAUGAACCACCUGCCGGAUAACAUCAAUGUUUAUGCAACUACUGCUGCCAACCCCAGAGAGUCGUCCUACGCCUGUUACUAUGAUGAGAAGAGGUCCACGUACCUGGGGGACUGGUACAGCGUCAACUGGAUGGAAGACUCGGACGUGGAAGAUCUGACUAAAGAGACCCUGCACAAGCAGUACCACCUGGUAAAAUCGCACACCAACACCAGCCACGUCAUGCAGUAUGGAAACAAAACAAUCUCCACCAUGAAAGUGAUGCAGUUUCAGGGUAUGAAACACAAAGCCAGUUCUCCUAUCUCCCUACCUCCAGUCACACACCUUGACCUCACCCCCAGCCCUGAUGUGCCUCUCACCAUCAUGAAAAGGAAACUGAUGAACACCAAUGAUCUGGAGGAGUCCAGGCAGCUCACAGAGGAGAUCCAGCGGCAUCUGGAUGCCAGGCACCUCAUUGAGAAGUCAGUGCGCAAGAUCGUCUCCUUGCUGGCAGCGUCCGAGGCUGAGGUGGAGCAGCUCCUGUCCGAGAGAGCCCCGCUCACGGGGCACAGCUGCUACCCAGAGGCCCUGCUGCACUUCCGGACCCACUGCUUCAACUGGCACUCCCCCACGGUGAGCCAGCAGGCUCUCCCCACGACCAGAAUCCAGAAGCUGAAUUCAUAUUGUCCCCUGGCAGUCACAUUGGUUGUACGACCUUAUAGAAGGUUCCAUCCAGGCUGAGAAACAGUGGGCUCAUUUCAGAGAGGAAGAAGGUUGUCCAAAUUCACUAAUUUUAAAUCUUGGCCUCAGAACACUUCUUGUCCCAGUGGGUAGGAGAGUUUACCAGAGCCGUAGAUGACAGCUCUCACUUCUAGUUUGAAGAACAGUUACUUCUGUUCACACUUCUGCUGUCCCUGCCAAACCCCACCCUCGUCUCUACCCCUCACACGAGCCACACACAUCUUCUCCCUUCUGAGUCUGUUCUGACCUCUUCCCAAGACAGUUGAAGUCAGGUGUGGCCCAUGGAGAAGUACUGAGUUUCUGCAGAUGUAGAAUUGGAAGGCACCUGAAAAGCCUCCUGGUCAGUAGCAUGUGGUGCUUCAAUCCUUCUAGAGAAAGGUUGGCAAACUGGCCUACAGGUCUGUUUCUCCCCCAUAACCUGUUUUUGUAAAUAAAGUUUUAUUGGGGCCGGGCAUGGUGGCUCAUGUCUGCAAUCCCAGCACUGCUGGGAUUACAAGCAUGAGCCACCGCACCCGGCCCAGGCUUGGUCUUUUGACCUUUGGAGUCAUGCACAGUGAACCUCUUCCUUUGUUCUCAGAGAGUUCUUGGGUUCCCCUGAAGUUUAUGUCAAGAUAAACAUCUCCGCUGCUUCACCCUUCCCUGGUGUGAUCCAGCGUGGCUUUCACACGCCAUCCAUCUCCCUCGCUGGCGUGUCCCUCCCAGAAUCAAAAGGCAGACUUCCCGGGGAGAUCCCAGGCCAUGGCGGGGAGCAGAGCCAUCGGGAGUUCCCUGUCAGGAGUCCUGCCCUCAGAUUUGAGAGUGCAGAACCCCGCCAGCCCCCCCACUUGCAUGCAAACCCUGGCAUGUGUGCCUCUUUCCUGAGGGAUCGUCCAUAAAUAUCACCAGAUUAUCUAAAGGUUGGGAAAGGAUCCAUGAACCAAAAUAGGGCAAGAGCCACUGGCCAAGAUGCUUCCCCUCUGCAAUUGCAAAAGUGGAGUGGAUUGUGUGGAGAGAUGAGGAAGUUUCAUUCUUCUCGUUUGUUUUCUCCCAGUACGAGUAUGCGUUGAGACAUUUGUACGUGCUGGUCAACCUUUGUGAGAAGCCGUAUCCGCUUCACAGG